CUUCUACUGCCCAUGUGCUUUACCUCCCCUGCUCCCCCGACAAUAAUCUGGUGCCAGAUGGGUUUGGUGCCAGCCAGGGUCUCCCUGUGGACACGCUGCUUGUGAAGCUGAAAACCCUCCACUCUCAAAGGUGCUGUGUUUGUCUAUUUACUGCAAGACCUGAACAAGGGAGUGCUGAGAGGUGACCAGGAAGAUCACCUGGGUGCCAACCAUAUUUCUCCAGGUCCCUAUUUUGUAACACAUUCCUGCUUCCACCUAAAGGGUCAAAGGUCCUGCUUCUUGCCUGCUGGUCUAUGAAUGCAACGGCCCUGGAAUGCUCAGGGUGACAUCAUGACUCACACAAGUUCUAGCAAGUGCCGUGAGUCCUGAGCAAGCGUCAAGCGCUGAAACAUUUUUUUUUCUCUUCAAAAAAGUGAUGAGUACAAGGUCUGAUGAAGCCUGGCAGUACCGAAGUGUUGUUGGGUAGCAGCUGGGAGUGAGCAGCCAGAGGGGAAACAAAGGCAGGGCCCUCACCGUGACAAUCUAACCAAGACAGGAGACUGGAAGCAAAAGGAAAAUAUGUCUCGCCAAUUGACUCAGCUCGGUUUGAUAAAACUGUCAGGUGUCCAGAGCACUGCAAGCAAAACAGGUAGAAGAAGGGGAGAGGCUUUGAGCCUGUGCUGAGAAAAGAGGCUUCUGUAACCAUCCUACUAGGACUGAACAUCUUAGUGUGGUCUGAACAUCACAAGUGGGAUUACACAGGAGAAAUGGGGGCCUAUGCUGGGAAAGGGGCCUCUGAAACAAUUUCACUAAGACGAAGAAUCUUCACUGAGAAAGCCUUGUAUCUGUACAUUACUCUCAAGGGAAAAAAAGGAAGGGAAACUAGAAGGCAGCUGAGGUAUAUAAUCCCUGAACCCCAAUAGUCAGCACACUUAGAUUAGCUAAGUACGCACUUGUGGCCUCAGCUCAGUUUAUAGAACAAAUUAAUUUAUGAAACAAACUUGCUACAAACUUUCUUUCCUCUAUUUUGUGGGGCAUUUAGAUUAGUGGGGUGCCAGCUUGCAGCUGCAUGCUUGUACGUGUUUCGUAAACAAGCGUGCCAUCUCAUGUGUACUGUACAUGUUUGUGCCUCGCUUGAAUCACUCUCUCGCUGGUGAGAUGAGAACGCAGACCAGGAGAAAGGCCUCCUGACUUGCGUCUCCCGCUCGACUGCAAUGGUGUGACUGUAAUUCCACGAUCCAGUUUCUAACUAAAGUGGUUAGAAACUCCUGUGAAUUUUGGCUCAUUCAGAGAGGUCCAAUCGGGAAGUUGAAGUAUGUUUCCAGGGACUGUUCCAUGACUCAGAAAUGUUUUUGUGAUGACUUUCUUUGGGAACUGCCUUCAUAGACAUACAUAUUCUUUUACUUAUUGCCUAUGGCAUUUUUAAAAAUUGAGAAUGGAUUCAUUUAUGAAAACAGGUGAAGUUUUACAAUGCCAGUCUGGUGAAUAUGGUGACAUGGUAGGGAAUUAGGUUCAGUAAUGGCAGUUUUCAUGACUUCAGACCAAAGGCUGAACUAAAACUGCGAGGGAACACAGCUCACGUGAGCAUGUUGUGUUCACUCCUGAUCUGAAUGAGAACGAAUGUCGCCCACCAUAGCCACACAGAACAGACCAAAAACACACCACCAACUAUCUCACUCCCUGUAACAGCAGGCUGUACAAUUAUGAAAUCGGUCCUUGGGUGUUCUAAGUUUUUGUUCUUUACACCUAUCCCAUAAAAAUGUCAGUCUCUAUCCCUGUGUGGGUGGUUGCGGACAAAAAUGUGCUGUAUUAACACAUUAUUAGGGAUAUAGUUAGGCAAAUGUGGGUGGGGGCGAGUGGGAAAAGAGAGGGUUAUUGGAACAGGAGGGUUGUUGUCUCUUUGAGAAAUCCCAAAUCUGAUUUGAAGCUUUGCCGCUCCCCAUUCUCUUCUGGCUGAGAGGCCGAAUGGGCCUUCCUGUAACAAAGGCUUCUGGCUCUGCUGGGGAGAGAGGCCGGCCCGAUUAUUCGUAAAUAACAGGACUGAUUGUAUCUCACUUUCAUGAACUCAAAGGCUCCCUCCAGACUCUGCUUUGUUCACUCGGAGGGAUUCAUUGCUUCCCAUUACAAAACCUUUUUUGUUGGUGAUAACAUGAGUACCUGCAAGAAAUAAAGCCCCGUGACUAUCUCUGGGGCUUCAUUUCCGGGGACUGCUGCAUGCUUUCUGUGGAACACAAAAGGAAAAAAAAAUCGAGUGACUUUAUUCUUAACAAAGAAAAGUCUUUCAUAUUAUUCCCCCCUGAAGAUUUAGUCAUGCUGCUUUCUAA